UAUUGGUCAAUGGCCGGAAGGCUGAACCAGCCAAGUCGCGUGAGGGACGACUGCCCUAUGGGUUGUAAACCUCUUUUAUAAGGGAAGAAUAAGUGCUACGUGUAGCAUGAUGCCUGUACCUUAUGAAUAAGCAUCGGCUAACUCCGUGCCAGCAGCCGCGGUAAUACGGAGGAUGCGUGCGUUAUCCGGAUUUAUUGGGUUUAAAGGGUGCGUAGGCGGUUUUUUAAGUUAGUGGUUAAACGUCGGGGCUUCACCUUGAUUUGCCAUUAAUACUGUAAGACUCGAGUUCAGACGAGGUAGGCGGAAUAAGUUAAGUAGCGGUGAAAUGCUUAGAUAUAACUUAGAACUCCGAUAGCGAAGGCAGCUUACCAGACUGCGACUGACGCUGAAGCACGAGAGCGUGGGUAGCGAACAGG
rnacentral:rRNA from 1 species